rnacentral:rRNA from 1 species
GUCCACACCGUAAACGAUGAUUACUAGGUGUUGGGAGAUUGACCCUCUCAGUGCCGCAGUUAACACAAUAAGUAAUCCACCUGGGGAGUACGACCGCAAGGUUGAAACUCAAAGGAAUUGACGGGGCCCGCACAAGCAGUGGAGUAUGUGGUUUAAUUCGACGCAACGCGAAGAACCUUACCAAGUCUUGACAUCCCUUGACGAUGCUGGAAACAGUAUUUCUCUUCGGAGCAAGGAGACAGGUGGUGCAUGGUUGUCGU